GUACAUCAUGUAAAACCCUAAAAAAGAGAGCUUCACUCAUAAUACCGCCGUUCCUUCCCGAUCUUAACAUCACCACUACCAUCCAUCCCCGUCAGUCCGUCACCACCACCGUUCCUCUCUCCUCUGUCUCUUCCCUCUGUGAAACUACGACCACCAUCUUUGCCUCUGAUAGCCGCUGUAAACAACCCAGCCUUGAAGUACCGAAAUUGUAAAAUCAGUUAUUGUUAGCGGUGAUUUAAAGUCGACGCUAUCGAUUUCGCUUGAGGAUACGGUUUUGUUGAUUCUCAUUUGGGGAUUGCAUUUUGGGGGUUUCGGGAUUCGAACUUCACCUGUGUGGUUGGGGUUCAAAAAGAACUGAACUACUGAAGGUUUGCCUUAUUGAGACCUUAACCUUUGUGAACCAAUAAAGGGUUAAAAGAGUAGUUCAAAUCGAAGAUUAAUGAUAGAGAAGUGUACAUAUUAGACGUCUUUCUCCAAUGCUAGACUUUUCAUAGCUUAUGUUAGGAGAGGGAAACCAUGGGACUACAAAGGUUGUCUAGAAUACCGAAGAAAAGUUUACGAAUAAAAAUCACACGUGGUCACGCGGCACUCACGAAAACAUCAAAGAACCCAAAUUGAUGUACGUCUAGCGAGACUGUUAAGCCGUUUUCUAUCAAAGGUGUAAUGGCCCAGGCUGUGAACUCCUAGGUCAAACGACCUCACCAUGGACCGUUUGUUAAACCUGGAUACUGGACCACAACAGGCGGCGACAGAAAAAAAGAGUCUCAUAUCAGACACUUAUUAGGCUCAUUCUGCAAAAAAAAAAAAAUAAUAAUAAAAAGCUUAUCCAAAUUCCAGGUACUGUACACUUACCUUAGCAAAAGUGAGCUGCAAAUUAACAUGUUAUCUCAAUAUUUACUGAUACCCUACUAUUUAAGUAUUAGUUGAUUAAAUUUGAUGAGGGAUUCAUUUUCAAAACUUUCUUUCUUUAUAUUGUUGUGGUUCUGUUUUAUAUCUUGGUACAUGUUUUUGUUUUAAAUCUUGGUACAUGUUUCUUUCUUUGCUGAUCCGACAAUGAGGCAUGUCUGCUUUUCCAGUUAUUAAGGUAAACUCCAUCUACUUUCCGAUUAUACGACCCCAAAUGGGUGUCUUCACUCACUAGAGUGUACAUGAUACGUUCCUAGGUGAGUAUCUUACUAUCUUCUCCUGUAGAUCACUUUGCCUAUCUUUAUAAUUUUAACUUAACUGUUUGUUUUAUGUGUUGUUUCAGGUUACGUUCAUGGUUAUUCAUUAUAUAAGUAACUGUAAUAGAGUCUCUCAUUCCGGUUCAUAAUAGGAAGUGAUCAAAUGACUUCUGAAUGCAUUUAUGUGGAAAAUGUCGCUCACGCCCUUAUGUGUCGAAGUUGCUUUGACUUCGCACAUGCUCAUUGUAUCUGGAAAGAUUUGAACGCGCUCGCACUGAGGUGUUUUUUAAUGCAUUCCACGCGUCAUCAUCAUCUAAGCGUAGCCACCUCCCAACACAUCCUCUCUAUGGCCCUUAAUGAAGGCCAAACUCCGUGGCGGCAAGAACGUUAGCAAAAAACACUGUCGUUCUCGCCCUGGCCGGCUUCUCAGCAACAGCCGUAAUGUCAAGCCGGGUCCGGUUUGCGAGCCGUUUUACUUCGAAACCCUAGCAGCAAACGAGAAUCCACGGGUACUGACGUUUUCUAGCCAUAUCAGCUUAGAACUCCAAUUGAGUCGGUUAAGAAACGAGGAUGUUCAAUGACAUUCAGUUUGAUAUUGGAAGCCAUGGGAGCUGAAUUUAUCUAAAAUAUUCUGAUAGACAAAAGACAAGGCAUAAGGUUACUUCCAUUGAAGAUGAGACAGAAGUCAUGGACAGCACAGGUCCAGAUCAACUUGAGGUUUACUAUGUGCCAUCACACAUAUUUACAUGCCACUAUAUUUUAUCACAUAACUGAAUAAAUCUGUCACUGUUCCGUAUGUGAAGGCUUCGGCAACUCAUCCAAAACUUCACUGUGUUGAUUACUUCAUUUUGUUGAUAGCUUCUUGACGAUGAAAUAUAUUUGUUUAGGAUGCUCUUAAUUGGUAUCAUUGAUCAUAAUCCCCAACAUAUGACCUAAAACAUUUAGAACUUAAGUAGAUUGGAAGUUUAUAUGUACUAUUGUUUAAGUUUCGGUUGAUUAAAUGAAAUUCCUGAAUGAAUAUGUAUCUGUUUGGAUU